CCUACGGGGUGCUGCAGUGAGGAAUAUUGGUCAAUGGACGAGAGUCUGAACCAGCCAAGUAGCGUGAAGGAUGACUGCCCUAUGGGUUGUAAACUUCUUUUAUAAAGGAAUAAAACGAGGCACGUGUGCCUUUUUGCAUGUACUUUAUGAAUAAGGAUCGGCUAACUCCGUGCCAGCAGCCGCGGUAAUACGGAGGAUCCGAGCGUUAUCCGGAUUUAUUGGGUUUAAAGGGAGCGUAGAUGGGUUGUUAAGUCAGUUGUGAAAGGUUGCGGCUCAACCGUAAAAUUGCAAUUGAUACUGGCAGUCUUGAGUACAGUUGAGGUAGGCGGAAUUCGUGGUGUAGCGGUGAAAUGCUUAGAUAUCACGAAGAACCCCGAUUGCGAAGGCAGCUUACUAAACUGUGACUGACAUUGAUGCUCGAAAGUGUGGGUAUCAAACAGGAUUAGAUACCCGGGUAGUC
rnacentral:rRNA from 1 species